GCCAGUGUUGAUAGCACGUUGAAUGAACCAGUCCCCAAUGGUUCAUUGAUGUUAAGCAACUUUGCGCCUGGUUGGUAUCCGGAUGGGUGACCAUCUGAGGAACCGCAAGUUGCUGGCU
rfam:Asian citrus Psyllid, Diaphorina citri - Florida Strain, whole genome shotgun sequence.